rnacentral:rRNA from 1 species
AGUGAACGCUGGCGGUAGGCCUAACACAUGCAAGUCGAACGGCAGCACAGUAAGAGCUUGCUCUUACGGGUGGCGAGUGGCGGACGGGUGAGGAAUACAUCGGAAUCUACUUUUUCGUGGGGGAUAACGUAGGGAAACUUACGCUAAUACCGCAUACGACCUACGGGUGAAAGCAGGGGAUCUUCGGACCUUGCGCGAGUGAAUGAGCCGAUGUCGGAUUAGCUAGUUGGCGGGGUAAAGGCCCACGAAGGCGACGAUCCGUAGCUGGUCCGAGAGGAUGAUCAGCCACACUGGAACUGAGACACGGUCCAGACUCCUACGGGAGGCCGCAGUGGGGAAUAUUGGACAAUGGGCGCAAGCCUGAUCCAGCCAUACCGCGUGGGUGAAGAAGGCCUUCGGGUUGUAAAGCCCUUUUGUUGGGAAAGAAAAGCAGCAGGUUAAUACCCCGCUGUUCUGACGGUACCCAAAGAAUAAGCACCGGCUAACUUCGUG